rnacentral:rRNA from 1 species
CAAUCGAACCCGGAGAUAGCUGGUUCUCCCCGAAAUAGCUUUAGGGCUAGCGUCGGAAUGAACCCAUGUGAAGGUAGAGCACUGAAUGUGUGAUGGCCCCAUCCCGGGGUACUGAAUACAAUCAAACUCCGAAUGUCAUGUGGGAUGUCCGGCAGUCAGACUGUGAGUGAUAAGGUCCAUGGUCGAGAGGGAAACAGCCCAGACCGCCAGUUAAGGUCCCAAAAUGCAGGCUAAGUGGAAAAGGAUGUGGGGAUGCCCAGACAACUAGGAGGUUGGCUCAGAAGCAGCCACCCUUUAAAGAGUGCGUAACAGCUCACUAGUCGAGUGACCCUGCGCCGAAAAUGUACCGGGGCUAAGCCUGAUACCGAAACUGCGGAAUCGAAUGAUUGGUAGGGGAGCGUUGUAUACGGGUGGAAGCCGUACCGUGAGGAGCGGUGGACUGUAUAGAAGUGAGAAUGCCGGUGUGAGUAGCGAGAUGUAGGUGAGAAUCCUACACACCGAAAGCCCAAGGAUUCCAGGGGAAGGUUCGUCCGCCCUGGGUAAGUCGGGACCUAACGCGAGGCCGAAAGGCGUAGUGGAUGGAAAGCAGGCGGAGAUUCCUGCACCCGUAUGUGGAGCGAUGGAGUGACGGAGACGGCUAAUGUGACCCUCUUAACGGAUUGAGGGCGAAGCGGGGUAGCGGUCGACCAGGCAAAUCCGGUCGGCGUAACGCGAAGACGUGACAGGGAAGCGAACGCUUCGGCAAGUAGCGAAGCACAUGAGGCCGGCUUCCAAGAAAAGCUUCUGGCAAUGCACAUGCGGCCCGUACCAAAACCGACACAGGUGGGCAGGUAGAGGAUACCAAGGUGAGCGAGAGAACUGUUGCCAAGGAACUCGGCAAAAUGGCUCCGUACGUUCGCAAGAAGGAGCGCUUAUGAAAAUAAGCCGCAGUGAAUAGGCCCAAGCGACUGUUUAACUAAAACACAGCUCUCUGCGAAGUCGCAAGACGAAGUAUAGGGGGUGACACCUGCCCGGUGCCGGAAGGUUAAGAGGAUCUGUCAAUCGCAAGAUGAAGCAGUGAGUUGAAGCCCCGGUGAACGGCGGCCGUAACUAUAACGGUCCUAAGGUAGCGAAAUUCCUUGUCAGGU